GACGAAGGGAGCAAGCGUUAUUCGGAAUAACUGGGCGUAAAGAGCGUGUAGGCGGUAAAUUAAGUCGAUUGUUAAAUUCCCUGGCUUAACUAGGGAUCAGCAAUUGAUACUGAUUUGCUAGAGGGCAAGAGAGAGAAGUGGAAUUCUCGGAGUAGCGGUAAAAUGCAUAGAUCUCGAGAGGAACACCGGUUGCGAAGGCGGCUUCUUGGCUUGUACCUGACGCUAAAGCGCGAAAGCGUGGGGAGCAAACAGG
rnacentral:rRNA from 1 species